rnacentral:rRNA from 1 species
ACGCUCGACACCUACGGGAGGCAGCAGUGGGGGAUAUUGCACAAUGGGGGGAACCCUGAUGCAGCGACGCCGCGUGAGGGAAGAAGGUUUUCGGAUUGUAAACCUCUGUCCUCAGGGAAGAAGAUGACGGUACCUGAGGAGGAAGCCACGGCUAACUACGUGCCAGAAGCCGCGGUAAUCUGAGCGGGCUGGCAAGGC